UAUUGGUGGGUCCAAUUCUGGGUUCUCUAUUCUAUUCCAUUGGUCUAUGCUACCAUUUUUAAUAUAAAAGACAUAAAAGGUAAACUCUUUGCUUAAGCGAAGACUAAUAUGCAGCCUGUCUAAGCUGACAAAUAAAAAAGCUGUUGUUCACAUAUUUACCGUCAGUGUAAAAAAGUUAAGUGAUCAUGGAUGGGAAUUAAUUUUUGUUUUUCCCAGUAUGUUCUAGUGGCCUGUUUCUCUGUCUGCCUUCCCUGCUGACUGGAUAAUUGAGGAAGCCCUGGAAGGCGAUGGCCAUAUUCUAUUCCUUUCUGGAAGCUUUUUCUACUCCUGGUGUAUUUGGCUCUUGAGACUGCAUUUUGCAGUGACGACUUAAUGGAAGGCUUUGACCAUACAGCCUCCCCUUGACCGACACCUCUGGUCCAUGCCCUCAGCUCUCCUCUUUACUGGCUAUGUUCUUGAGAGCUUUGGUUUGGCACUCCCUUGGCAUCACCCUUCUUGUUCUUAGACCUCGACUGAGCACCACUCUCAGCUCAAAUCUACUGUUAUUUGUUUGGUUUGUUUCGUAUUCCUUGCAGUUGCCUCAGAUUAGAAUUUCUGUACCCAGCCACCCAAUGUGAGGACACCCACCGUGGCCCACAGAGAUUCUGGAACUUUGCAUUUGCUCAUUAACGCUUGUGGACUAAACCCAAUGCGGUGGUAACAAGCAGACUUGGACCGCCAAUGGAUGGGGUACAUGUGUGACGGUUGGUAGGGUCUUUGUAGAUCAACCUGGAAGAAAAGGAAAGCUGUUUCCUUGGAACAAGGUUGUGAUUCAUGGAUUUUUGUGUAUUUUGUAUUUUCUGGUCUCGUUUCAUAAAAGCCAUUAGAACAAAGACGAGAGCCUGAAAAAUGGUUGGAGGAAGUGAUCCUAAUUUCACUGAAGCGAAAAGAUAACCAUGGAACAAGUCUGCCAGCCCUCAACCCUGUCACUGAAGAAACACUACCCCUGAACGCGCUAUCCGCCAAGGCUGCUCCUGGGUUCCUUAAAGUGGAGUGAAAACUUAAAGCACGGUGAACAUUUCUGGUGCAGAAGACGUCAAGAUUCUUACGGCUCUCCCCCAGUUUGUUAACGACUGUUUCACCCAUACCUGCUCCCAUCUUGAGAUCCUCACCUUUAUCGUUUGCCCCAGCGCGUCUGCAGAGAAAUAAAUUUAUUGCCACUCGUAUUGAAUCGGUGUAGGUGAGAUCUAGCUAAAUCAAAACCAAAGAAAAAUGGCCGUAAGCAGGUCUGAUUCGAGGCAAGCACACAACUGAGCGGGCAGGAGCCAAGUGCUGGACAACGGCCUGCAUUCUGAGGGCCGGAGGCCCGGGCUGGCCCGUCUGCGGACUCCCGAGGGGCUGGGGAGUGUCAGCUCACCUGGCCAGUGGGCAGUGGGGGGAGAACUUCGGGCUGAAUGUCUUCUUUUAGUGGCCCAAGGCAGGGGUGGCGCAUUGGGAGGAGCCUUGCCCUAAGAGUCAGGGGACCUGAACUCUACCUGGGUUCGUCCCCUGAGUGACUGGAAGGAAACCUUUAGACCUCCUGGUCCCUCCCCCCUGCCACACUGAGCCGUGGGGGCUGCUGGAGAAUCAUAGGACCUCGCGCCCUAAUGAGUGACAGCGUGACAGAGGCCGUCAGAAGAGACGUCCACACACUCUGGCCAUCGUACGUAGCCACCCCUGUGCAUCCCACCCGCCACCUGUCAGUAUUCACCUCUGCACUCUGCCUUCCCUCCUGCGAGGAGGUGGGGGCUGUCACUGUCCUUGACCGCGAGAGCCCAUAACCCCUAGCAAUUCUCCCCGCCUCUCUCUCUGGCAUCCUCAGUUUCCCCCCUUCACUGGGUCUAGAUCAUCCUCAUCCUGUAGUUGCCCCCACAAAACAAGGGCAAAACCCUCCCAGCGACCAACCGCUGUCUCUCCUUCCCUUUACAGCAAGCUCCUAAAAAGACUCGUCUACGUUUGCGUAGACAUUGUCUCUUCCCCUUCCCCCUGGAACCAUGCCCAGCAGGCUCUGGUCCCCAGGCGUCACCUGCAACGGAUCGUUUCCUCUCCUCAGCUGACCCAGCAGCCACACCUGACGCCCCUUCCUUGAACCACUUCUGCACUUACGUUCUGGACCAGCUCAUUCUGUGGCAGCUCCUCGUCAGUCUCUGUUACCAGAAAAGGCAUGUGGCAAACCCAACUUCCAGUCGGAAUGUGACUUUAUUUGGAAACAGGGUCAUUACAGAUGCAAUCGAUUAGGUAAGGUGAGGUCACCGGGAGUAGAGGGAGCUCCUAGGCCGACGUGACUGGUGUCCUUGUAGGAGGACGACACAGGGAGAAGACACACAGAGAAGGCCAAGGGAAGAUAGAGAAAGAGAUUGAGUGACACCUCUACGAGACAAGGGACACCAAAGAUUGCCAGCCUUCACUGGAAGCCUGAGAAGGGACAGCCCAGAGGACACCUCCACGCCAGACUUCUGGCUUCCAGAACUGUGAGACAACCCUUUUCCGUGGCGUUAAGUCACCCACUCUGUGGCACAUGGUUAUGGCAGGCCUUAGAAACUAAUGCCGUCUCCCUUCCACGUUUCAUUUCUCCCAACGCUGGAAUGUUCCAGAACUCAAUUCUUGGACUUUCUUCCUUCUCUACAUUUGGUGAUCACAUCUACUCUUCAGUACCUAUAUUCUUUAAAAAAAAAAAAAUUUUUUUUUUAAUGUUUAUUCAUUGUUGAGAGACUUCUCUCCCUCUCUCCUAGCCUCCAUCCAAUCUGUCCUCAAAGCCCGGCGGCUCUAACUCCAGAUGCAUCUGGAACCCAUCCACUUCCGGUCGCCAUGUUGCCUCUAUUUCAUGUCCUUCCUGAAUAAAGCACACACCUUCCACUCCUCCCCGCCGUUGCAAUCUAUUCUCUGCCAGCAGGCAGACUUCUACAACAAAACAAAACAAAAC